AUGGAAGAUACGCCAAAUUUUUAUGUCACUGGAUAUUCACCUAAUCCUAGCAGCAUGGAGCCGUCGCUGCAACCUCCGAGCAGUUUCGUUUUCUCUAGAUCAUCAAUAUUGCUGAAAGCUAGCCAUACAAGUAAAUGUGUUGGGCCACAAGUGCCACCACGUAUUGAGUGUAUUGUGCGUGAGGUUUCAGGCUUGCAAAGUAGCCGAACAAAAAUUCCUGAGAUUGGGGCUUUACAUCCACCAUAUGUGGAUGUGGAUUCUGCGCAUGCUGAUACAAGUACGCUCAACAUGCAUAAAGUACCUGCGGCUUGCCACACAGCUGGAAACACCACAAAUUGCCGCCCUAAAAUUGUUCCUGGAGUAGCAGGUUUGCAUCCUCCAAGUCAUAAGCAGCCAGGUGUGGGUGAUCAUACGCUGCCUCCACGUCCACCUUCAUCGACUUCAAAGCAACAACCAGUGUGCAACAAUACGUCAAAGAAAUUGCCGGUGCACCUGAAACGUGACCCGCCGCUGCACAAAUUAGUGGUUACGCCUCCUUGUUCGAUACAACCUGACAACUGCAUAACUCGAGAGGAGAAUCGAAAGUAUAUCCAUAAACCUGACCUCCCAGAUUACCUUAUACCAAAGAUGAUGAUGGUGUUCAAGGAAUUCGAUGCAGGCAAAGUGUUCUACAAUAGAUACGCCAGGCACGCUGGCUUUGGAACAAGAAUUGGACAGAAGAGUGGUUUCAAUAGAUACUUGUAUUGCACACGUGAAGGGAAGCACGCGAGCUCUGUUUUCUAA
rnacentral:rRNA from 1 species